rnacentral:rRNA from 1 species
GACGAACGCUGGCGGCGUGCUUAACACACGCAAGUCGAGCGGUAAGGCCCUUUCGGGGGUACACGAGCGGCGAACGGGUGAGUAACACGUGGGUGACCUGCCCUCAGCUCUGGGGAUAAGCCUGGGAAACCGGGUCUAAUACUGGAUAUGACUCCAUGACGCAUGUUGUGGGGUGGAAAGCCUUGUGCGGCUGAGGAUGGGCCCGCGGCCUAUCAGCUUGUUGGUGGGGUGANGGCCUACCAAGGCGACGACGGGUAGCCGGCCUGAGAGGGCGACCGGCCACACUGGGACUGAGACACGGCCCAGACUCCUACGGGAGGCAGCAGUGGGGAAUCUUGCGCAAUGGGCGAAAGCCUGACGCAGCGACGCCGCGUGAGGGAUGACGGCCU